AACGAACGCUGGCGGCGUGCUUAACACAUGCAAGUCGAACGGGAAGGCCCGGCUUUGUUGGGGUGCUCGAGUGGCGAACGGGUGAGUAACACGUGGGUAAGGUGUCCUUGACUGUGGGAUAACUUCAGGAAACUGAGGCUAAUAGCGGAUAGGAGCUACUGCUUCAUGGUGGGGGUUGGAAAGUUUAGGCGGUUGGGGGUGGACUCGCGGCGUAUCAGCUUGUUGGGUGGGUAGUGGAUGACCAAGGCAUGGACGGGUAGCAGGCCUGAGAGGGUGACCGGACACAUUGGGACUGAGAUGCGGCCCAGACUACUACGGGAGGCAGGAGUGCAGAAUAUUGCACUAUGGGCUGAAGCCUGAUGCAGCACAGCAGUGUGGCGGAUGACGGGCUUCGGGUUGUAAACCACUUUCGCUUGAGACGAAGCGUGAGUGACGGUAAUGGGUAAAGAAGCACCGGCUAACUACGUG
rnacentral:rRNA from 1 species